rnacentral:rRNA from 1 species
GUGAGGAAUAUUGGUCAAUGGGCGAGAGCCUGAACCAGCCAAGUCGCGUGAAGGAAGAAGGAUCUAUGGUUCGUAAACUUCUUUUGCAGGGGAAUAAAGUGCAGGACGUGUCCUGUUUUGUAUGUACCCUGAGAAUAAGGAUCGGCUAACUCCGUGCCAGCAGCCGCGGUAAUACGGAGGAUCCGAGCGUUAUCCGGAUUUAUUGGGUUUAUAGGGUGCGUAGGUGGUUUGAUAAGUCAGCGGUGAAAGUUUGCAGCUUAACUGUAAAAAUGCCGUUGAAACUGUCGGACUUGAGUGUAAAUGAGGUAGGCGGAAUGCGUCGUGUCGCGGUGAAAUGCAUAGAUAUCACGCAGAACUCCAAUUGCGAAGGCAGCUUACUAAGCUACAACUGACACUGAAGAACGAAAGCGUGGGGAUCAAACAGGAUUAGAUACCCAAGUAGUCC